GCCCCCGUGGCCUAGUGGUUAAGGUAUCUGCCUUCUAGUUGCUAUGUUAGCAGAUGAUCGCGGGUUCGACCCCCGCCGGAGGCU